CAGACAUCUACCCAGGGUCUCCAAUGGGGACACGGCCUGUGACUAAGCGAUGACAGCUUCAGCUGCUGGUACUAGGAAUGAGCCACCCUGGAUUGGCUUCCCUUCAGCAAGACCCCGCACAUGCCAGCCCUUCCACGGAGAUUUCUCAGGCUUGGAGGUAGCUCUGCUUUGUCAACAGUGAGAAUAAUGGCAAUAAAAACUGUAAUAAGA